UGCAUAUCAAUAAGCGGAGGAAAAGAAACUAACAAGGAUUCCCCUAGUAACGGCGAGUGAAGCGGGAAGAGCUCAAAUUUGUAAUCUGGCACUUUCAGUGUCCGAGUUGUAAUCUCGAGAAGUAUUUUCCGCGCCGGACCGCAUACAAGUCUGUUGGAAUACAGCGUCAUAGUGGUGAGAACCCCGUAACUGAUGCGGAUGCCCGGUGCUUUGUGAUAUACUUUCGAAGAGUCGAGUUGUUUGGGAAUGCAGCUCAAAUUGGGUGGUAAAUUCCAUCUAAAGCUAAAUAUUGGAGCAAGACCGAUAGCGAACAAGUACCGUGAGGGAAAGAUGAAAAGCACUUUGGAAAGAGAGUUAACAGUACGUGAAAUUGUUGGAAGGGAAACGCUUGAAGUCAGACUUGCUAUUCGGAGUUCAGCCGCAAGGUGUAUUCUUCGAUUUGCAGGCCAGCAUCAGUUUUUGGGGGUGGAAAAUCGUGGUUUGAAGGUAGCAGUUUCGGCUGUGUUAUAGCUUUCCACUGGAUUCAUCUUCGGGGACUGAGGAACGCAGUACGCUUUUUGCAAGGCUUUCGAGCUUUUCGUACUUAGGAUGCUGGUGGAAUGGCUU
rnacentral:rRNA from 1 species